rnacentral:rRNA from 1 species
CCUACGGGUGGCAGCAGUGGGGAAUAUUGGACAAUGGGGGGAACCCUGAUCCAGCCAUGCCGCGUGUGUGAAGAAGGCCCUCGGGUUGUAAAGCACUUUCAGUGAGGAAGAACGCCUGGUGGUUAAUACCCAUCAGGAAAGACAUCACUCACAGAAGAAGCACCGGCUAACUCCGUGCCAGCAGCCGCGGUAAUACGGAGGGUGCGAGCGUUAAUCGGAAUUACUGGGCGUAAAGCGCGCGUAGGUGGCUUGAUAAGCCGGUUGUGAAAGCCCCGGGCUCAACCUGGGAACGGCAUCCGGAACUGUCAAGCUAGAGUGCAGGAGAGGAAGGUAGAAUUCCCGGUGUAGCGAUGAAAUGCGUAGAGAUCGGGAGGAAUACCAGUGGCGAAGGCGGCCUUCUGGACUGACACUGACACUGAGGUGCGAAAGCGUGGGUAGCAAACAGGAUUAGAUACCCUAGUAGUC